rnacentral:rRNA from 1 species
UACGUAGGGGGCAAGCGUUGUCCGGAAUUAUUGGGCGUAAAGAGCGUGUAGGCGGCCAGGUAGGUCUGCUGUGAAAACUCGAGGCUCAACCUCAAGACGUCGGCGGAAACCAUCUGGCUAGAGUCCGGAAGAGGAGAGUGGAAUUCCUGGUGUAGCGGUGAAAUGCGCAGAUAUCAGGAAGAACACCCGUGGCGAAGGCGGCUCUCUGGGACGGUACUGACGCUGAGGCACGAAAGCGUGGGGAGCAAACAGG